rnacentral:rRNA from 1 species
AUUGAACGCUGGCGGCAGGCCUAACACAUGCAAGUCGAACGAGUGGCGGACGGGUGGGUAAUGUCUGGGAAACUGCCUGAUGGAGGGGGAUAACUACUGGAACCGGUAGCUACUACCGCAUACCACCAGAUGAGCCCACAUGGGAUUAGCGAGUUGGUGGGGUAUAGGCUAACCAAGGCGAAGAUCCCUAGCUGGUCUGAGAGGAUGACCGGCCACACUGGAACUGAGACACGGUCCAGACUCCUACGGGAGGCAGCAGUGGGGAAUAUUGCACAAUGGGCGCAAGCCUGAUGAAGCCAUGCCGCGUGUAUGAAGAAGGUCUUCGGGUUGUAAAGUACUUUCGGCGGGGAGGCGUUACCCGCAGAAGAAGCAACGGCUAACUCCGUGCCAGCAGCCGCGGUAAUUC